rnacentral:lncRNA from 1 species
CACCCUGGUGGUGGGGGUCACCCCUGAACUCAACACCACCGUCUCCAUCCAGAACCGUGGUGAGAAUUCCUACAGCACCACGGUGCAGUUUUUCUACCCGGCCGCGCUGUCCUACCGCCGGGUCCUGCUGCUCCAGUCUAACAGGAGGGCCGUGGCAGUUAGGUGCAGCUCGGCUGUGGGUUCCAAGGAGCAGACUCAGAGGAACAGCACCUGCCACGUCAACCACCCCAUCUUCUGGAGCGGGGCCGAGGCCGUCUUCAUCGCCACCUUCGACGUCUCCUCUGAGGCCGACCUGGGGGACAGGCUGCAGAUCAUGGCCAAUGCCAGCAGGUGAGGGGGCUGUGCAGGGCCAGCGGGCAGGGUGGGGG